AGAGGGGGGGCAUGGUUCCAUCAUGGCGUCAAUGCAGAAACGACUGCAGAAAAAACUGUUGGCUUUGCAAAAUGACCCACCUCCCAGGGCGACUUUAAAUGAAAAGAGUGUUCAAAAUUCAAUUACACAGUGGAUUGUAGACAUGGAAGGUGCACCAGGUACCUUAUAUGAAGGGGAACAUUUUCAAGUUCUAUUUAAGUUUAGUAGUCAAUAUCCUUUUGACUCUCCUCAGGUCAUGUUUACUGGUGAAAAUAUUCCUGUUCAUCCUCAUGUUUAUAGCAAUGAUCAUAUCUGUUUAUCCAUUCUAACAGAAGACUGGUCCCCAGCGCUCUCAGUCCAAUCAGUCUGUCUUAGCAUUAUUAGCAUGCUUUCCAGCUGCAAAGAAAAGAGACAACCACCAGAUAAUUCUUUUUAUGUUCGAACAUGUAACAAGAAUCCAAAGAAAACAAAAUGGUGGUAUCAUGAUGAUACUUGUUGAUGCCACUGUUCUCCUCCUAGCAGAAGAUAGUCCUACUGAGAAACAAGCACUUUGAUCAUUCAGUCUUUGAACUUUAACCUUUGACUGGAAGUGACGUAUAGGCAAUGAAGACUACUUCCUUUUACUGCAUUUUUACUCGUGUGCAUUCUGGGCGCAUGUUGAUCGCUGGUUCAAUCCAGGCAACUGACAUGCUUUUAUUAGUCAUACAGUAUUAAUACAGGUGUCAGGAAGUGUCAAAUAUAAUUCCAUUUUUUAUUUUUAUUUUUUUAAGUUUUUGGAAAAGUUCCAGGUCCUCAUGUUUUGUGCAAUAACAAUGACUUCCUUGGUGGUUCAGGCAUGUUCAUUGCCGGCAAUGAACGUUGUAACAGGAAAAAUUCUCAUUAACUCCUGCCACCCCGUGAUUAAUGCAUGAUAGGGCCUAUGAAAUGAACUUACCUGUUAUAGUGGGAUUAUAAUAAAGUGAGGGAUCCAGCAUUACUUUGCAAAGUCACCCCAACUGUUUAUAUUUGGAUUCUAUGCACUGUGAUCCUGAGGGUAACAGCAUGAAUUAACAUGCAUCUUUAAAAGGACUGUAAAGAAAGAUCAUUGCGUAUUUAUCGAAUUGUAUAUAUCUGCUGUCAAAUUGUUUGACAUGGAAGAUUUUCAAGUAACAUUGGCAGAAAGGUACAAUCCCUAUGGUGAAAAUACAUUCUUCGGUUGUAUAUAGUUCCUCAGUCUCUGAAGCAAAGGUAUGAGUAAUAUAGGGUAUGAAUGGUUUAAUCAAGGCUUUAUUUUGGAAGUAAGAAAAAUGGCAGUGAUGAUUAAACUGCU